GGUUAAGCGACUAAGCGUACACGGUGGAUGCCCAGGCAGUCAGAGGCGAUGAAGGACGUGCUAAUCUGCGAUAAGCGUCGGUAAGGUGAUAUGAACCGUUAUAACCGGCGAUUUCCGAAUGGGGAAACCCAGUGUGUUUCGACACACUAUCAUUAACUGAAUCCAUAGGUUAAUGAGGCGAACCGGGGGAACUGAAACAUCUAAGUACCCCGAGGAAAAGAAAUCAACCGAGAUUCCCCCAGUAGCGGCGAGCGAACGGGGAGCAGCCCAGAGCCUGAAUCAGUGUGUGUGUUAGUGGAAGCGUCUGGAAAGGCGCGCGAUACAGGGUGACAGCCCCGUACACAAAAAUGCACAUGCUGUGAGCUCGAUGAGUAGGGCGGGACACGUGGUAUCCUGUCUGAAUAUGGGGGGACCAUCCUCCAAGGCUAAAUACUCCUGACUGACCGAUAGUGAACCAGUACCGUGAGGGAAAGGCGAAAAGAACCCCGGCGAGGGGAGUGAAAAAGAACCUGAAACCGUGUACGUACAAGCAGUGGGAGCACGCUUAGGCGUGUGACUGCGUACCUUUUGUAUAAUGGGUCAGCGACUUAUAUUCUGUAGCAAGGUUAACCGAAUAGGGGAGCCGAAGGGAAACCGAGUCUUAACUGGGCGUUAAGUUGCAGGGUAUAGACCCGAAACCCGGUGAUCUAGCCAUGGGCAGGUUGAAGGUUGGGUAACACUAACUGGAGGACCGAACCGACUAAUGUUGAAAAAUUAGCGGAUGACUUGUGGCUGGGGGUGAAAGGCCAAUCAAACCGGGAGAUAGCUGGUUCUCCCCGAAAGCUAUUUAGGUAGCGCCUCGUGAAUUCAUCUCCGGGGGUAGAGCACUGUUUCGGCAAGGGGGUCAUCCCGACUUACCAACCCGAUGCAAACUGCGAAUACCGGAGAAUGUUAUCACGGGAGACACACGGCGGGUGCUAACGUCCGUCGUGAAGAGGGAAACAACCCAGACCGCCAGCUAAGGUCCCAAAGUCAUGGUUAAGUGGGAAACGAUGUGGGAAGGCCCAGACAGCCAGGAUGUUGGCUUAGAAGCAGCCAUCAUUUAAAGAAAGCGUAAUAGCUCACUGGUCGAGUCGGCCUGCGCGGAAGAUGUAACGGGGCUAAACCAUGCACCGAAGCUGCGGCAGCGACGCUGAUGCGUUGUUGGGUAGGGGAGCGUUCUGUAAGCCUGUGAAGGUGUGCUGUGAGGCAUGCUGGAGGUAUCAGAAGUGCGAAUGCUGACAUAAGUAACGAUAAAGCGGGUGAAAAGCCCGCUCGCCGGAAGACCAAGGGUUCCUGUCCAACGUUAAUCGGGGCAGGGUGAGUCGACCCCUAAGGCGAGGCCGAAAGGCGUAGUCGAUGGGAAACAGGUUAAUAUUCCUGUACUUGGUGUUACUGCGAAGGGGGACGGAGAAGGCUAUGUUGGCCGGGCGACGGUUGUCCCGGUUUAAGCGUGUAGGCUGGUUUUCCAGGCAAAUCCGGAAAAUCAAGGCUGAGGCGUGAUGACGAGGCACUACGGUGCUGAAGCAACAAAUGCCCUGCUUCCAGGAAAAGCCUCUAAGCAUCAGGUAACAUCAAAUCGUACCCCAAACCGACACAGGUGGUCAGGUAGAGAAUACCAAGGCGCUUGAGAGAACUCGGGUGAAGGAACUAGGCAAAAUGGUGCCGUAACUUCGGGAGAAGGCACGCUGAUAUGUAGGUGAAGUCCCUCGCGGAUGGAGCUGAAAUCAGUCGAAGAUACCAGCUGGCUGCAACUGUUUAUUAAAAACACAGCACUGUGCAAACACGAAAGUGGACGUAUACGGUGUGACGCCUGCCCGGUGCCGGAAGGUUAAUUGAUGGGGUUAGCCGCAAGGCGAAGCUCUUGAUCGAAGCCCCGGUAAACGGCGGCCGUAACUAUAACGGUCCUAAGGUAGCGAAAUUCCUUGUCGGGUAAGUUCCGACCUGCACGAAUGGCGUAAUGAUGGCCAGGCUGUCUCCACCCGAGACUCAGUGAAAUUGAACUCGCUGUGAAGAUGCAGUGUACCCGCGGCAAGACGGAAAGACCCCGUGAACCUUUACUAUAGCUUGACACUGAACAUUGAGCCUUGAUGUGUAGGAUAGGUGGGAGGCUUAGAAGUGUGGACGCCAGUCUGCAUGGAGCCGACCUUGAAAUACCACCCUUUAAUGUUUGAUGUUCUAACGUUGACCCGUAAUCCGGGUUGCGGACAGUGUCUGGUGGGUAGUUUGACUGGGGCGGUCUCCUCCUAAAGAGUAACGGAGGAGCACGAAGGUUGGCUAAUCCUGGUCGGACAUCAGGAGGUUAGUGCAAUGGCAUAAGCCAGCUUGACUGCGAGCGUGACGGCGCGAGCAGGUGCGAAAGCAGGUCAUAGUGAUCCGGUGGUUCUGAAUGGAAGGGCCAUCGCUCAACGGAUAAAAGGUACUCCGGGGAUAACAGGCUGAUACCGCCCAAGAGUUCAUAUCGACGGCGGUGUUUGGCACCUCGAUGUCGGCUCAUCACAUCCUGGGGCUGAAGUAGGUCCCAAGGGUAUGGCUGUUCGCCAUUUAAAGUGGUACGCGAGCUGGGUUUAGAACGUCGUGAGACAGUUCGGUCCCUAUCUGCCGUGGGCGCUGGAGAACUGAGGGGGGCUGCUCCUAGUACGAGAGGACCGGAGUGGACGCAUCACUGGUGUUCGGGUUGUCAUGCCAAUGGCACUGCCCGGUAGCUAAAUGCGGAAGAGAUAAGUGCUGAAAGCAUCUAAGCACGAAACUUGCCCCGAGAUGAGUUCUCCCUGACUCCUUGAGAGUCCUGAAGGAACGUUGAAGACGACGACGUUGAUAGGCCGGGUGUGUAAGCGCAGCGAUGCGUUGAGCUAACCGGUACUAAUGAACCGUGAGGCUUAACCUU
rnacentral:rRNA from 1 species